UACGUAGGCAGCGAGCGUUGUUCGGAGUUACUGGGCGUAAAGAGUGCGUAGGCGGUUCUUUAAGUUUGGUGUGAAAUCUCCCGGCUUAACUGGGAGGGUGCGCCGAAAACUGGGGGACUGGAGUGUGGGAGAGGCAAGCGGAAUUCCUGGUGUAGCGGUGAAAUGCGUAGAUAUCAGGAGGAACACCUGUGGUGUAGACAGCUUGCUGGACCACGACUGACGCUGAGGCACGAAAGCGUGGGGAGCAAACAGG
rnacentral:rRNA from 1 species